UUCACUUUUGGGCUUGUGUACAGACUGCUGCCACGCUGCCUGGCUAGGUCGCUCUCCUUCUACUAGAUGGAAAUUGCUGUGAUCAUCACCACAAACCUGGAGUUGGAGGAAGUCUCUUCACUCCAUGAAGAGAAUGGUACCUACUGAGCAAGAGCUUCAGGCUGCUCCACAGGAGUGAUCCAGAAGGAGAGUGUUACAGACCUUCUGGAUCCAUGAGGGACUCAGUGAAGGUGUUCAUCGACACAUUCAGAAUCUGAAUGCUUUGCUAUUGCCUUCCAUAUGGGGACACCUGGGAAAAUGACUUACCAUUGAUCAUUUGUCAAAGGAAGAGAAGAAAGAAAGGACACUAAUGUUUACUUAACAUCCACUAUGUGCCAGACACUAUGCUAGUAGACUUUUUAUCAAAUUAAGUACCAUUCUAACAAUGAUAAAUUCUUCACUGCUAAGGCAAGUUUUUUACUAGGAUGUAUGAUUCCCUAACAUUAUUUGGAUAUUCCAAUCCCUGCAUCCUACCCAGGCAACUUAAGAAUCUCAAUUAGAGAUGAACAAGGGAAGUAAGAUGAAACCUGCUAGAAAUGAAAACACUAAUCCAGCAGCCACCUCUGAAUAACAUGAAUAUAACGGGCUAUAAAUUAAUGAUCACUUCCUGAAAAAUUGUGUACAUUCCAGCAAUAUGGCAUAGCAGAAAUGUUUUGGGGAAAAUACUUGGUUUCAAGCCACAGCCCCAUCACCCACAGACUAUCUGAGAGUCACCAGGGCUCCUCUCUGGGACUCAGUUUCUCUACAUGAAUAUAAGCUGUGCUUUGUUAGCUUUCUGUUGAACAAGUAGAAGAGAUAACAAAGUUUUACUAGAUAAGUGCCUGUGAAGAUAGCAGUGGUCUGAGCCUCCAGCUUCCAUCAAAGUCUGUUGUUUUCAUUGUUUGGGAGUGGGCAGUAGGCAGGAUAAAGAGUUUAGACAGAAAAUAUUCCAGUUAAAGAACAAUUAUUUUGUCACAGCACUUUAAAAAUAUUUAAUUAAAUGAGCUUUAAAUUCUGUCCUAAGUCUGAGUUCUGUGAUUCUAUGGGUUUCAGAAAUUGGAUUGCCAAUUCCUAGUCUGAAAACAAAACAGAAUAAAAAACAAAAACAAAAAAACCAAACAG
rnacentral:lncRNA from 1 species